UACGGGGGGGGCAAGCGUUGUUCGGAAUUACUGGGCGUAAAGGGUUCGUAGGUGGCCAACUAAGUCAGACGUGAAAUCCCUCAGCUUAACUGGGGAACUGCGUCUGAGACUGGAUGGCUUGAGUGCAGGAGAGGAACGCGGAAUUCCAGGUGUAGCGGUGAAAUGCGUAGAUAUCUGGAGGAACACCGGUGGCGAAGGCGGGUCUCUGGGCAAUUCCUG
rnacentral:rRNA from 1 species